ensembl:snRNA U4 U4 spliceosomal RNA
AGCUUUGUGCAGGCACAGUAUCCUAACAAAUGAGGUUUUUCCAAGGCAUGACUAUAGCUGAUUGAAACCUUUGCCCAAUUUUCAUUUUUAUUAGUAUGUAUUUGCAGUAGAUAAUGAUUACAUUUCUCGUGGGGA